CCUACGGUGCGCAGCAGUCGAGAAUCAUUCACAAUGGGGGAAACCCUGAUGGUGCGACGCCGCGUGGGGGAAUGAAGGUCUUCGGAUUGUAAACCCCUGUCAUGUGGGAGCGAAUUAAAAAGAUAGUACCACAAGAGGAAGAGACGGCUAACUCUGUGCCAGCAGCCGCGGUAAUACAGAGGUCUCAAGCGUUGUUCGGAAUCACUGGGCGUAAAGCGUGCGUAGGCUGUUUCGUAAGUCGUGUGUGAAAGGCGCGGGCUCAACCCGCGGACGGCACAUGAUACUGCGAGACUAGAGUAAUGGAGGGGGAACCGGAAUUCUCGGUGUAGCAGUGAAAUGCGUAGAUAUCGAGAGGAACACUCGUGGCGAAGGCGGGUUCCUGGACAUUAACUGACGCUGAGGCACGAAGGCCAGGGGAGCGAAAGGGAUUAGAUACCCGGGUAGUC
rnacentral:rRNA from 1 species